GAUGAAGAACGUAGCGAAAUGCGAUACGUAAUGUGAAUUGCAGAAUUCAGUGAAUCAUCGAGUCUUUGAACGCACAUUGCGCCCCCUGGUAUUCCGGGGGGCAUGCCUGUCCGAGCGUCAUUGCUGCCCUCAAGCACGGCUUGUGUGUUGGGCCUCCGUCCUCCUCCCGGGGGACGGGCCCGAAAGGCAGCGGCGGCACCGCGUCCGGUCCUCGAGCGUAUGGGGCUUCGUCACCCGCUCUUGUAGGCCCGGUCGGCGCUUGCCGACACAUCAAUCUUUUUUCCAGGUUGACCUCGGGUCAGGUAGGGAUACCCGCUGAACUUAAGCAUAUCAAUAAGCGGAGGA
rnacentral:misc_RNA from 1 species